GUGCAUCUAAGUUAAAAUCCUGCAUAAUGAAUAAUUUAAUGUCAGAUCUGUCCAGACAAAAUAAGAAAGAUGGAACUAAUGAGAAAAGCAAAGGUAACUCAUUCACUUUCUGUCUCACAGAGCACAGCUCCACCUCAUCCUAUGAGCUUUGUUGGAAAGACUCCAAUGGUUCCACUAAUACUAAUAUUUCAGAAAACUCAGAAACUACUAUGGACAUUCUAUCUAUACUUCAUUUUAGCGCAAAAAAAAAGAGGGUAUUGUUCUUUUCUGGACAAUCUAAGCAUUCUUUCACAAGCAAGAAGCAACAGCAUAAAAUAAUUACA